GUCAAUAUUAAGUUCAACAGUAACUAUGUUGUUGAUUUUUGUUUAAUAACUUACAAUAAAUAGGAGUUUUAAACAAACGCGCGUCGUAGUAGCUG